rnacentral:rRNA from 1 species
CCUACGGGCGGCUGCAGUGAGGAAUAUUGGUCAAUGGGCGCAAGCCUGAACCAGCCAAGUCGCGUGAAGGAAGAAUGCCCUAUGGGUUGUAAACUUCUUUUAUAAGGGAAUAAAGUGAGACACGUGUGCCUUUUUGUAUGUACCCUAUGAAUAAGCAUCGGCUAACUCCGUGCCAGCAGCCGCGGUAAUACGGAGGAUCCGAGCGUUAUCCGGAUUUAUUGGGUUUAAAGGGGGCGUAGAUGGGUUGUUAAGUCAGUGGUGAAAGUUUGGGGCUCAACCGUAAAAUUGCAGUUGAUACUGGCAGCCUUGAGUGCAGUUGAGGUAGGCGGAAUUCGUGGUGUAGCGGUGAAAUGCUUAGAUAUCACGAAGAACUCCGAUUGCGAAGGCAGCUUACUAAACUGCAACUGACACUGAUGCACGAAAGUGUGGGGAUCAAACAGGAUUAGAUACCCCAGUAGUC